AGAACCAAAUCAGAAUUUUUGACUGCGUAAACUUCAGAGAACGUUAAAAAUUACUCGACUUUCUGAGAGAUGAAGGGUUUCUCGGCAUUAUCCAAAUCAGCAACAAGUGCAAAAUUAUUGUGUGGAACGAUUCGUUAUAAUCAAACUUCUCAAGCUGAAAGCACCCGCUAGAAAUCGUGGUAUUUUAGGUGCACUGGCGGGAAGCCAGAGAUGACGUCAAGACAACUAUUUGAAACAAUUCUGUAGGCUGAGCAUAACCUUGGCUUCACUGAAAAAAGUGGUAUGCUGUUUUAGCACCUAGGAUGUCAAAAAAGUGUCUAGUGAUCCAAAGAUGCUACCUUGAUUGCCCACGCAGUUGAAUUUGCAUUCAUAGGAUGUAAAGUUAACUGCGAAGGCAGUAGAGGUAGCAUCUUGGGACACAUUUUUGACAUGCUAGGUGCUAAAACAGCAUAUUAUUUUUUUCAGUGUUGAUUGGGCGGAGGGUACUUUCUAUGAGUUUAGCCUUGCUCUUUUUCAUAGCAUCUUGAUGCCAAGCCGAUUAUCGCAGGAUAUAGUAAAAGUGGUAUAGAGUUGAUACUCACGGACUCAGCCCAGAUUAUGGCGCACCAUCCAAUAGUGGUAGGCGCGACCAAAAACAACAUGAGAUUCUUUCGGCCGAAGACGUCGACAGUGAGACCAGUGAUGAUGCACCCGAUGAUGGCACCGAUGGCCAUGAUGCCGCCCACCCAAGACAUGUCAUCUUCCGUCACCGGGAACCCGUAUUCACCGUCCAUCAGUUUCGGCCCGGCCGGCGAGGACCAUGCCAGGAUGUUCCCGGCGAUGAAACCACCGAUUGUCGCUGAAAAAUGAAAAAAAAAAAAAAAAAAAAAAAAAAAAAAAAAAAAAAAA